rnacentral:tRNA from 1 species
UCCAGAGUAGCUCAAUGGUAGAGCAGCUGGCUGUUAACCAGCGGGUUGUAGGUUCGAGUCCUACCUCUGGAGCCA